rnacentral:tRNA from 1 species
GGAGGGGUGCCGGAGUGGUUGAACGGGGCGGUCUUGAAAACCGCUAUCCGCCUUAGGCGGAUCGUGGGUUCGAAUCCCACCCCCUCCGCCA